rnacentral:rRNA from 1 species
GACAGAGGGUGCGAGCGUUGUUCGGAAUUACUGGGCGUAAAGGGCGCGUAGGCGGUCUGUUAAGUUCGGUGUGAAAGCCCUCGGCUCAACCGGGGAAGUGCGCCGGAUACUGACAGACUUGAGUACCGGAGAGGAGGGUGGAAUUCCUGGUGUAGCGGUGAAAUGCGUAGAUAUUAGGAAGAACACCAGUGGCGAAGGCGGCUCACUGGUCCGGUACUGACGCUGAGGCGCGAAAGCGUGGGGAGCAAACAGG